UACAGAGGUCCCCAAGCGUUGUUCGGAUUCACUGGGCGUAAAGGGUGCGUAGGCGGUCGGGUAAGUCUGAUGUGAAAGCUCGGAGCUCAACUCCGAAAUGGCAUCGGAUACUAUUCGGCUAGAGGAAUGGAGGGGAGACUGGAAUACUUGGUGUAGCAGUGAAAUGCGUAGAUAUCAAGUGGAACACCAGUGGCGAAGGCGAGUCUCUGGACAUUUCCUGACGCUGAGGCACGAAAGCCAGGGGAGCAAACGGGAUUAGAAACCCUUGUAGU
rnacentral:rRNA from 1 species